UACGAAGGAUCCAAGCGUUAUCCGGAUUUAUUGGGUUUAAAGGGUGCGUAGGCGGGCUAUUAAGUCAGUGGUGAAAAUCCUGCAGCUUAACUGUAGAAUUGCCAUUGAUACUGAUGGUCUUUGAGUACACUUGAGGUGGGCGGAAUGUGUCAUGUAGCGGUGAAAAUGCUUAGAUAUGACACAGAACACCGAUUGCGAAGGCAGCUCACUAAAUUGAUAACUGACGCUGAAGGCACGAAAGCGUGGGGAUCAAACAGG
rnacentral:rRNA from 1 species